CAUAAUCUUAUGUAUGUCAGAUCCUAAGCUAAUAUUUUAAUGAAUAUAAAAUACUUCCUGAGGCUUCUUAUUUGCCUCCCAAACACUGUGGGAGCACAUCCCUGUAAAACUUGCUUUACAGCUGUCACUUGCUUUCUGCCUUUCUCAGGGAUAGCUUGGUUCUUUUUAUCACAGUGUAAAAUGACAUUCAGAAAAUAGGAACUUUUUUGUUGUUAUUUUCAUGAUUGUUCUUAAAAUGCACAGUUUUUCCUAUGAAAUCUACCUUCCUUAUACUCAGUCUUGGAAUAGAGUUUAUGGGGGAAAAGUGUGAACAUUUUAAUAAUGCUGUUUUUUUCAGGAGAGCAGUAAGGAGGCUUUGCUUAGCUGCUGUAGUAGCAAUCUGAGGUGGGAAACAAGAACUCUCUUUUGAAAAAAAUUCUUUUGAAAAUCAUCCCUUAAAAUUUACUGGAUUUAAUGUGCAGUAUAGGCAUAGAAUGGCCAUUCUUCAUCAAAGAUUACUUAUUUCCUCUAUUCUGUUUAUGCUAAUGUAGGGUGAAGCCAAACCCCUGGUGUGAGUAAAUCCAUAACCUGCAUCAACAUUAUGCACUCUGUGUGCAUGAGAGGGUAAAGAGCAAUAAUGAAAUGAGUCUUAGGGUUGUCUACUACAAGAGAAAUAAUAUUCAGAUGAGGAGGUCUUUCAUUUUUUUACCUGUAAAGGGAGUUUCAUAUUCACCAGCUGAUAUCACUGAUUUAAUUAUUGCGUAGCUCCAGGCAAAGUCUCUGCCUGUGAAAUCCACCUAACAAGCUUAAGAGAAUCUUAUCUCCUUCCUAUUAGAAAAAGUCUGAAAAGAAAGCAUGAUCUGAAUCUUCAGACCCUCCCUUGGAAAAGUGUGUGGGGACUGGGAGGACAAGCAGGUGGAGUUGCCUGUUUUGUUUGUCUAAAGUGUGUAAAUUAUACCUCUUACUAUUUCUGUGCUUCCUUUUACCUGUGCAGUGAGAUUACAUAGUUAGGCACACCAUUUUAAAGUGCUUCUGUAGAUAUAAAAGAGGAACAGGUUGCCCAGGGAAGCUGUGGCUGCCCCAUCCCUGGAAGUGUUCAAGGCCAGGUUGGACAGGGCUUGGAGCAACCUGGUAUGGUGGAAGGUGUCCAUCAAUUUAUGCUAUCAGUUCAGCUGGCAAACACGUAACAUUGUGAAGAAGUUGCAGCAAUCCUCAGGGUUUGGAGGCAAAUAUCUGUUGUUUUUGUGUGGUAUAAUCAAUAUAAGGGUGUUGUGAAUUUUUCAGAUCAGCAAAAAUGAGCGAUUUCUUCAGUGACUACUCAGUGGUCUUUGGUACCAUCAUGACCGUUUAUGCUCACCUGUUCCUCUCCCUCAGCCUGAGAGACUGUGAUUGCUGAAUUGCACAGUUCUUCCUGCACUCAUUUCUGGAUAACAGAUUGACUCCAGGAAAAAAAAUAAAGAGAAGCAGUCUCCUACAUCAUUUCUUCUCCCUCAGGUUCUGGAGAAAGUUUACUCCACACAGGCUUGUUUUCUCUGCCUUCUCCACUGCUGUGACCUUCCUCAGCCCUCAGCUUUGUCCUCCUGAGCUUUCUACAUCUCCUUUGUCCAUUUCUGUUCUCAACUAGUGCCCAGCUUUUGUUCCCCAGCUUCCCCUCUAACUUCUGUAGCUUGAGAAAUGCUACUUGCAGAAACAAACAUCUUCAUUGAAAACAUCAUCCACUGCAUCAUGUGAUUUUUAACUCAUGAGCUGUUUUGUUUUAAAAUCCCCUUUGUGUUUUCAUGGCAGCUGUGUAAGUCCUGCUUUUGAGACACUGCUUUUAGUGUAGCAGCAGUGUCCAUUGAACAGAUCUGGGUUUACUUCACUAGUAAUGGAUUUCAACUAAAAUUCUAACAUGGGGGGGAGCGGGUUCUUAAAUAUUUUAAAAGCCUGCAAAAAAGCUCUAUUUCUUGGCAUAUAUUCAAGUUCUGCAAAAGUUAUAGUAAUGAAGAUUAUGCUAAAAAAUGCAUCCAUAGGUUAUUAGUUGCUUUCUCAGCUAUGUUUCCCCGAUCUUUCAGCCCUUUUUUCUUUCAAUGAAAGGUGAACUCUUGCAGGACUGGAGUGUUGCUACAGGGACAACUUCCUACACAUCAAAGGAAAUCAUAUGACAGGACAAGACUGAGAGAGGCAGACUUACUUUUCUCCUUGACAUCUCCCUUGUUUAUGGGUGGUGGUUCCAGUUGCACAUUAAAACCAUUUGAUGUCACCAAAGGAGCUGUAACCAGACCAAGCUCUUCCUUGGAAUGCUUGGGCAAAAUUCACUGAGCCCUUUAGAGAUGUGGUAGCACCACACCAAAUUUCAGCUGUCCUGCUACUGUGGGCUUGUGUGACUCAGAGAGAAAGCCCAGGGGCUCAGCAUCACAUCCUAAAUCAAUCAGGAUCACAAUGUAUGUUGUUUCCACUGGGAAUUUCCUUACUACUUUUCAAAAGGGAUUUGGCUCUCAAACUGGAGCUCAGCUUUAAGGUACACUGCCUGUGGGUUUGUCUUCAUGUCCAAGGGUCUUUUAGGUGCAAAAUCUGUCUCUUAGAA